UACGUAGGUGUCGAGCGUUGUCCGGAUUUAUUGGGCGUAAAGCGCCCGCAGGCGGCUUGGCCAGUUCGAGGUGAAAUCUCCCGGCUCAACUAGGAGGGUGCCUCGGAAACUGCCAGGCUUGAGGCAGGGAGAGGGAUGUGGAAUUCCCGGUGUAGUGGUGAAAUGCGUAGAGAUCCGGAAGAACACCGGUGGCGAAGGCGGCCUGCUGGGCGGCGACUGACGCUGAGGCGCGACAGCGUGGGGAGCAAACAGG
rnacentral:rRNA from 1 species